GACGAACGCUGGCGGCGUGCUUAACACAUGCAAGUCGAACGGAAAGGCCCUGCUUUUGUGGGGUGCUCGAGUGGCGAACGGGUGAGUAACACGUGAGUAACCUGCCCUUGACUUUGGGAUAACUUCAGGAAACUGGGGCUAAUACCGGAUAGGAGCUCCUGCUGCAUGGUGGGGGUUGGAAAGUUUCGGCGGUUGGGGAUGGACUCGCGGCUUAUCAGCUUGUUGGUGGGGUAGUGGCUUACCAAGGCUUUGACGGGUAGCCGGCCUGAGAGGGUGACCGGCCACAUUGGGACUGAGAUACGGCCCAGACUCCUACGGGAGGCAGCAGUGAGGAAUAUUGCACAAUGGGCGGAAGCCUGAUGCAGCAACGCCGCGUGCGGGAUGACGGCCUUCGGGUUGUAAACCGCUUUCGCCUGCGACGAAGCGUGAGUGACGGUAAUGGGUAAAGAAGCACCGGCUAACUACGUG
rnacentral:rRNA from 1 species